UUCAUUAUUUUCACUUUUAUUGCACAAACUCCUCAGGAGCGGUUUAACACUUAAAAAAUAUUAACAACAUUAGUUUAACAACAUUGACUUGCAUGCUUACCCUUCAUAAAUACAACAGUGACAAUAAUUUAACAUUCAAUAACUGUUAGAGACCCAUUUGAAUACUUUGAUAAGUGACGUAACCCUGGUGAGCGAACUGCACACGUCAGGUUUUCUCUUAGAAAGUAAGAAAGAGUUUGCAUAUACUAAGCACUCAUUCAACUU